AACGAACGCUGGCGGCAUGCCUAACACAUGCAAGUCGAACGAGACCUUCGGGUCUAGUGGCGCACGGGUGUGUAACGCGUGGGAUCCUGCACUUAGGUUCGGAAUAACUCCCCGAAAGGGGUGCUAAUACCGGAUAAUGUCUUCGGCCCAAAGAUUUAUUGCCUUUGGAUGGGCCCGAGUUGGAUUAGCUAGUUUGGAGGGUAAAAGGCUACCAAGGCGACGAUCCAUAGCUGGUCUUGGAGGAUGGUCAGCCACACUUGGACUGGGACACGGCCCAGACUCCCACGGGAUGGCAGAAUUGGGGAAGGUGGAACAUUGGGCGAAUGCUGAAGCACCCAGGCCCGUAGAACUCUGAAGGCCUUAGGGUUGUAAAGCUCUUUUACCCGGGAUGAUAAUGACAGUACCGGGAGAAUAAGCUCCGGCUAACUCCGUG
rnacentral:rRNA from 1 species